CAGCACUGCACCUUUAUGUUGCUCAUGCCAGCUUCCCUCCCAAAUCUGGCUGGAAACAUUCCUGCAUUCCCCAUGAGGUCAGCUUGUACCUGCUGAGGGCUUGGCCCCAUUUUAUAGAGCUUUUCCAUGAGGUGUGCCCUGGGAAUGCCCUCCCCUGGGCUGUGGCAACAGUGCUUGGAGAUGAGCAGUGCUGGUGCCUUCAGGAGGCUGAGCAAGUUGAGGUGCUGGGUGAUUUGCACCUGGAAUUUCUGUUCUUUUCUGCUCCUUGCUGGGGUUUGGAGCAGGCAUGAGGCUGCUCCAGCAUGGAUGUGUUGCAGAUGUGCUGAUAGCAGUGAGCUGAGUGCUGACACUGCUGUGGAGGGGCUGCAGGAAGCAAAAUGUUGCCCUCCGCUGUUUGCAGCGUUGCUGGAACAGAGAACUCGCUGCGUCCGAGCCAGUCCAGUGCUUUACUCCAGUGUCACAUCCCUGGCACUGGUCAGGGGAUUUGGAGAGAGACGACUCCCACCCAGCCCACAGAUGCUGCAAAGACCUGAAAAAGGUCCCAUCACCCUCCCUGAGCCACCAGGAGUGACAUCCUUCCACUCUUAG
rnacentral:lncRNA from 1 species